rnacentral:rRNA from 1 species
AACGUAGGAGACAAACGUUAUCCGGAGUUACUGGGCGUAAAGGGCGUGUAGGCGGUUUGUUAAGUCUGGCGUGAAAGCUCUCGGCUAAACCGGGAGAGGUCGUUUGGAUACUGGCAAACUAGAGGACGGUAGAGGCGUGUGGAAUUCCGGGUGUAGUGGUGAAAUGCGUAGAGAUCCGGAGGAACACCAGUGGCGAAGGCGACACGCUGGGCCGUACCUGACGCUAAAGCGCGACAGCAUGGGGAGCAAACGGG